AUUGAACGCUGGCGGCAUGCCUUACACAUGCAAGUCGAACGGUAACGCGGGGCAACCUGGCGACGAGUGGCGAACGGGUGAGCAAUACAUCGGAACGUGCCCAGUAGUGGGGGAUAGCCCGGCGAAAGCCGGAUUAAUACCGCAUACGACCUACGGGUGAAAGCGGGGGAUCGCAAGACCUCGCGCUCUUGCAGCGGCCGAUGUCAGAUUAGCUAGUUGGUGGGGUAAAGGCCUACCAAGGCGACGAUCUGUAGCUGGUCUGAGAGGACGACCAGCCACACUGGGACUGAGACACGGCCCAGACUCCUACGGGAGGCAGCAGUGGGGAAUUUUGGACAAUGGGGGCAACCCUGAUCCAGCCAUGCCGCGUGCGGGAAGAAGGCCUUCGGGUUGUAAACCGCUUUUGUCGGGGAAGAAACGGUCUGCGCUAAUACCGCGGACUAAUGACGGUACCCGAAGAAUAAGCACCGGCUAACUACGUGCCAGCCGCCGCAGUAA
rnacentral:rRNA from 1 species